UAUCAUGCAAGUCGAACGAGAGGAAGGAAAGCUUGCUUUUCUGAAUCUAGUGGCGAACGGGUGAGUAACACGUAGGUAACCUGCCCAUGUGCCCGGGAUAACUUCUGGAAACGGAUGCUAAAACCGGAUAGGUAGCAGACAAGCAUUUGACUGCUAUUAAAGUGGCUUUGGCCAUGAACAUGGAUGGACCUGCGGUGCAUUAGCUGGUUGGUGAGGUAACGGCCCACCAAGGCGACGAUGCAUAGCCGGCCUGAGAGGGCGGACGGCCACAUUGGGACUGAGACACGGCCCAAACUCCUACGGGAGGCAGCAGUAGGGAAUUUUCGUCAAUGGGGGGAACCCUGAACGAGCAAUGCCGCGUGAGUGAGGAAGGUCUUCGGAUCGUAAAGCUCUGUUGUAAGAGAAAAACGGCACUCAUAGGGAAUGAUGAGUGAGUGAUGGUAUCUUACCAGAAAGUCACGGCUAACUACGUGCCAGCAGCCGCGGUAAUACGUAGGUGGCGAGCGUUAUCCGGAAUGAUUGGGCGUAAAGGGUGCGUAGGUGGCAGAUCAAGUCUGGAGUAAAAGGUAUGGGCUCAACCCGUACUGGCUCUGGAAACUGAUCAGCUAGAGAACAGAAGAGGACGGCGGAACUCCAUGUGUAGCGGUAAAAUGCGUAGAUAUAUGGAAGAACACCGGUGGCGAAGGCGGCCGUCUGGUCUGGAUUCUGACACUGAAGCACGAAAGCGUGGGGAGCAAAUAGGAUUAGAUACCCUAGUAGUCCACGCCGUAAACGAUGAGAACUAGGUGUUGGGGGAAUAACUCAGUGCCGCAGUUAACGCAGUAAGUUCUCCG
rnacentral:rRNA from 1 species